rnacentral:lncRNA from 1 species
AGCGGGCCGCGCCGCGCAUGCGCACCUCGAAGCGCGCUGUCCGUGCCCACAGGCGGGCGGGAAGGCGGGGUGAGGCGGGGGCGGGGCUCCAUCCGGGUCCCUCCCCGCCAGCGGCAGAGCGGCGGCCGGGCUCGGGGCGAGACGCCUACCCAUGAGCUCAGAUUUCCAGCAUUACAGUUUCAGGAUGCCGAACAUCGGGUUCCAGAACCUGCCUCUCAACAUAUAUAUCGUGGUUUUUGGCACGGCCAUCUUCGUCUUCAUCCUCAGUUUACUGUUCUGUUGCUACUUGAUCAGGUAAGAGAGCUGCCCUGGCUGUCUGCAGGAGAUGACCUCCUUCGGGUGAGGGCAUCCCACAAAGUGCUCUGUGCACGAAUUGUUCCUGUUA